UACAGGGGGGGCAAGCGUUGUUCGGAAUUACUGGGCGUAAAGGGCGCGUAGGCGGCCUGUUAAGUCGAACGUGAAAUCCCUGGGCUCAACCCAGGAACUGCGUCCGAUACUGGCAGGCUUGAAUCCGGGAGAGGGAUGUGGAAUUCCAGGUGUAGCGGUGAAAUGCGUAGAUAUCUGGAGGAACACCGGUGGCGAAAGCGGCAUCCUGGACCGGUAUUGACGCUGAGGUGCGAAAGCGUGGGGAGCAAACAGG
rnacentral:rRNA from 1 species